GUGGGGAAUCUUGCGCAAUGGGCGAAAGCCUGACGCAGCCAUGCCGCGUGAAUGAUGAAGGUCUUAGGAUUGUAAAAUUCUUUCACCGGGGAAGAUAAUGACGGUACCCGGAGAAGAAGCCCCGGCUAACUUCGUGCCAGCAGCCGCGGUAAUACGAAGGGGGCUAGCGUUGCUCGGAAUUACUGGGCGUAAAGGGCGCGUAGGCGGACAUUUAAGUCAGAGGUGAAAGCCCAGGGCUCAACCUUGGAAUUGCCUUUGAUACUGGAUGUCUUGAGUUCGGGGGAGGUGAGUGGAAUGCCGAGUGUAGAGGUGAAAUUCGUAGAUAUUCGGCGGAACACCAGUGGCGAAGGCGACUCACUGGCCCGAUACUGACGCUGAGGCGCGAAAGCGUGGGGAGCAAACAGGAUUAGAAACCCGAGUAGUCC
rnacentral:rRNA from 1 species